UACGUAGGGGGCAAGCGUUGUCCGGAAUUAUUGGGCGUAAAGAGCGUGUAGGCGGCCAGAUAAGUCCGCUGUGAAAUCUCGAGGCUCAACUUCGAGCUGUCGGUGGAAACUAUCUGGCUAGAGUCCGGAAGAGGAGAAUGGAAUUCCUGGUGUAGCGGUGAAAUGCGCAGAUAUCAGGAAGAACACCCGUGGCGAAGGCGGUUCUCUGGGACGGUACUGACGCUGGAGACGGCGAAAGCGUGGGGAGCGAACAGG
rnacentral:rRNA from 1 species